GAGUUUGUGUGACCUGCUGUGUUGUUCAGUCGCCUUCCCCGGAGGAGGCUGGACCUUCCUGGGUGGAGAGGCCUCCGGCACGUCCCCCACGCAAGUCACUAGAUGCAUUGACUCCAUCAUAUGCAAUCACACAGGUCCUUAGGUAUGACUUUUGGUGGAAGCCGUAUGGAGGAGGUGACAGCGGAAACCCAGCUGUCCUCACACCCAAGCUGAGACCAGCCCACCCUCCUUCCUUACCUCAACUCCACUCAACUACCAUCAAAGGAGGUUUGGGGUGAAAAGCAGCUUCAUCUGCAUCGUGCACAGCACGUACUUUUGGGCACUUUCAACCAGCUUUGGCGUCAAGAUUUAUGCACUCCAGUGUCAGCAAAUACCCUCAGCACGAUGUGGCCGUGUGACCCGAUGCACCCGACACCUGCUGCUUUCGGGUGAUCGUCCCACCCCCGAGGCCCUGGGCCCUUCCUUCCUCACCCGUCCACGUCCUGCAAGCAAACGUUGCCUCGUCACGCACGAUCCUGCAGACUCGCCAAUGAGCAUUAAGAUCCCAUCGGAAACUACAAAACGGUGUGUGACAGAAGGCGAAUGGUCUGGCCCAAAUCUGAAGGGACCUCACGGCCCCUGUGACUCCGGGAGAAGCCAGGGGCAAGAAAGCAAACUUAUGGCAGUUUUGCCGUUUCUGGUUCAAAUUCUGGGAUUCCUUCCCUUUGUACCGGAGGAGAUUGUAACAUCCUAGAAGACAAGGAAUAUGAGAGAAGGCUGAGUUUUAAAGACUAUCACCAUCUGCAAUCGGUGGAGGGAAUUUCUGCCACGUUGUAAAACGAUCGUGUGCUGUGGGUACACCUGCGUGUGCUGGCUUUGUUUUGUCGGUCUGUUUACUGUCCGACACCUCCCAAGCCUCCUGAAACGUCUCCGAGCUGAGACCCCGAUCCCCCGGUGCCACCAGCACACAUACUUGGUGUCACAGAACCAGCUGCAUCCUGGCUGCUCGGGAGACAACUCGGGCGCAGACACCGGGACCGUGGACAGUUUGACCGUGGUGACGUGACCCUCUGACGUGGCCCAGGUACGGGCUCGGGCUCUGAGCGUGAGCGGGGUGUCUGGGUCCUUCGCUGGCAUUAAGGAUUGGCGGGGAGCUGUUGGAAGUGGUCUUAGCACAGACGGGCUUGAACGCGAAGUCUCCUCGGAAGAGAACAGACUUUUAAAACCACGGAAAGAGACCGUGUCUUGGGAAUACCAUUUUUGCCUGAGGGUUGACAAAGUCUGAGACAAACCUCCAAUGAGAGAUGUGCAAAAACUGCCUUUUUCCUUAAUUCAACUUGAGCUGUUGUUUUUUUUAACUUGCAACCGAGUGUCCAAAUAGAUUAUAUGCCUUCAGUAUAAAUUCUCUCCACUUAAGAACUGGACUGGACAAGUUUGGCCACACGGCCCCUCUGAUUUCAGAUGAACAACUUCCCGACCCUGUGGGUCACUUCUGGUGGUGCCCGGAUUGCCACGUUCGGCCGCACUCACAAUGGGACUCGGUUCUGAUUAACCGUAGUGAUGUUACAACAACAAAGACUGAGAAGGGAGCUGACAGGGAACGUUCCAGAGUCACGGGAGUCAGACACGCCCCCUGUCUCCGUGGUGACGAAUCUGGGAGGGGAUGUGCAGGGCAGUGUGGGUGCAAGGCUGCAGAGCCCGGUCAGAGCCCCCUGCACUCAGGGACGACAUUGUCCCCUACAGAGACAACGGCUCUUACGCCAGGGCUCUCGGGCCACAAGGCGACCCUGCGUCCCCAGACGGGCAGUGGUCCUGCAGGUGCCGAUAACAUAACAUCCGAAUCGCCCACCCACUGGACUGAGAGGCAAGGACAUCAGCACUGACCCCGCCUUUCUCGGCCCUUCGCACUGGGUCCCCUCCCGGUUCGGUACACUAGUGAGGGUGGGCCGCACAGCCAUGUUUUCAUCCCACCAGCCGAACGGAGGUGCUGUGAGGUUCCAGCGUCGUGGACUCAGCCACGUGACCUGGCCACCUCGUGUCCACUCGCCUCGUGUCCACUCGCCUGCCGCCUUCCCCAUCGUGCAGGGUCAGCUGCGUCUGAACAGAAUUUGCACGGAAUGUGAAGAUGCAGAGAUAAAGGUUCCUGCUUGGAAAAUAUGAUUUAGUAAAUCUUCGUAUUUUCCCAGAGUUUAAAACCACGUCCCCACAGAAACCUGCACACAGACGAUCACUGCACCUCUUCCAUCAUCGACAAAACUUGUUAACGACCAGGACGCCCUUCAGCAGGUGGUGAUGGAUGACCCGGGUCCGUGCAGACAACGGGGUCUCGUUCUGCACUGAAACAAAGAACCACAAGCCACGAAAAGACGCGGGAACGUUACAGAAGUGGGAGGAGGGAACCUGGAGGGAGGACACCGGGCAGUGACCCUCCUCGCAAGGGCCUGGUCACCGCCUCUGACCAAACGUCCAGUGUGGUUUUCCACUGCCACCAGCUGUCCAGGCGGGCGCCUCAGGAACUGUCUACACGGCGCCAGAGGCAUGAGAAGAAUUAAGUCUUAAAGCGCAUCUGCCGUUCUUAAUAUCCAGCUCACUCUGACCGUCACGUCGAUACGAUCUUUUACAUAAGUGACUUAGA